rnacentral:piRNA from 1 species
ACCAAGAGAAUCAGCUGCGUGCAUC